rnacentral:rRNA from 1 species
AGAGCGAACGCUGGCGGCAGGCCUAAUACAUGCAAGUCGAACGGACCCUUCGGGGUUAGUGGCGGACGGGUGAGUAACACGUGGGAACGUGCCCUUUGGUUCGGAACAACACAGGGAAACUUGUGCUAAUACCGGAUAAGCCCUUACGGGGAAAGAUUUAUCGCCAAAAGAUCGGCCCGCGUCUGAUUAGCUAGUUGGUGAGGUAACGGCUCACCAAGGCGACGAUCAGUAGCUGGUCUGAGAGGACGAUCAGCCACACUGGGAUUGAGAACGGCCCAGACUCCUACGGGGGGCAGCAGUGAGGAAUUUUCCGCAAUGGGCGCAAGCCUGACGGAGCAACGCCGCGUGCAGGACGACGGCCUUCGGGUUGUAAACUGCUUUUCUGGGGGACCGAGCAAGGACGGUACCCCAGGAAUCGAGCCCCGGCUAACUACGUGCCAGCAGCCGC